rnacentral:rRNA from 1 species
CACAGAGGUCUCAAGCGUUGUUCGGAUUCAUUGGGCGUAAAGGGUGCGUAGGUGGCGCCGUAAGUCGGGUGUGAAAUUUCGGAGCUUAACUCCGAAACUGCAUUCGAUACUGCGGUGCUUGAGGACUGGAGAGGAGACUGGAAUUCAUGGUGUAGCAGUGAAAUGCGUAGAGAUCAUGAGGAAGACCAGUGGCGAAGGCGGGUCUCUGGACAGUUCCUGACACUGGAGGCACGAAGGCCAGGGGAGCAAACGGG